CGCGCCAGUACCAGCUGCUGAGCGUGUGCGGCGUGCUGGCCGGCGAGCGCGACUACCAGGCCAGCAAAGUCCUGCAAUCGGUUCGCAUCCCCUAGCUCACUGGACUCAUCGCAGAUGUCGGAUGCUGCGUACGAAAGGCUAGUGCGAUUAGAAAAUAUAUCGUCAACAGUG